rnacentral:lncRNA from 1 species
GUUAUUGUGUAUUGGAGGAAUAUGGUUUGUAAGAGCUUGAAUUGUUGUAUUUUCUUGCUCACUUAUUUGUACAGAUCUUGUAAAAGUGGAGAAUGCUUACUCAAGCUGCCGAUGUAGUGGUGGCUGAACAACAGACGCAGCUAAAGCAUGCUUUGAAUUAAGAAACUUGGUUACCACAACAGAGAGUGCCUGUAAAACUCUCAAAAUAAACCUGCUUGACACAGGAAGCUAAACUUAUCAGGAAACAAACAUUCUUCUCUCUAAAAAUCAAAGCCUCACCUCAAAAUGGCAGGAACUGCCUUGCCUGGAAAAAACUUACCUGUGGAAGAAUGGUUAAGUGAAAAGGGGCAUGAUCUCUUAGAAGUGAGCAAUCCUGUCUUCACAAUAGAGGGAGGAUCCCAUGGCUAUGUGAACUGUCCUUGAACAUUCCUAGACCAUUACAAAAGGGGAAGGCAAGUAGUGGUAAGCAAGUCAAGGAGGGGGCUGACAAGCCCCUCCACGUGAACAGCAACUUUGCACCAAUCGUGUAUUCGCUCUAGGCACAUGAACAGAGACUGUAAACCAAUCAUACAGCUAUUGCUAGUACAUGCUUAUCGCUUGUCUAUAUAUACUCUGUG